AUGGAACCUGACCUGACCAUUUUCUCUUUUAUCUUAGUUUAUCAUCUCUGGCUCUCUAUCAAUCGCCACAGAGAAAAGGUUAACCAAGCUUUUGGUGCAUAGCAGCCUGGUUGGAAGCAUUCUGAGUGCUCUGUCUGCCCUGGUGGGUUUCAUUAUCCUGUCUGUCAAACUGGCCACCUUAAAUCCUGCCUCACUGCAGUGUGAGUUGGACAAAAAUAAUAUACCAACAAGAAGUUAUGUUUCUUACUAUUAUGAUUCACUUUAUACCACGGACUGCUAUACAGCCAAAGCCAGUCUGGCUGGAACUCUCUCUCUGAUGUUGAUUUGCACUCUGCUGGAAUUCUGCCUAGCUGUGCUCACUGCUGUGCUGCGGUGGAAACAGGCUUACUCUGACUUCCCUGGGAGUGUACUUUUCCUGCCUCACAGUUACAUCGGUAAUUCUGGCAUGUCCUCAAAAAUGACUCAGAACCGUGGAUAUGAAGAACUAUUGACUUCUUAAGAAAAAAGGGAGAAAUAUUAAUCAGAAAGUUGAUUCUUAUGAUAAUAUGGAAAAGUUAACCAUUAUAGAAAAGCAAAGCUUGAGUUUCCCAAAUGUAAGCUUUUAAAGUAAUGAACAUUAAAAAAAAACAUUAUUUCA
rnacentral:sRNA from 1 species